GACGGAGGAUGCAAGCGUUAUCCGGAAUGAUUGGGCGUAAAGCGUCCGCAGGUGGCCGUUCAAGUCUGCUGUCAAAGACCGGGGCUUAACUUCGGAAAGGCAGUGGAAACUGAACAGCUAGAGUAUGGUAGGGGCAGAGGGAAUUCCUGGUGUAGCGGUGAAAUGCGUAGAGAUCCGGAGGAAGACCGGUGGCGAAGGCGGUCUGCUGGGCAGUUUCUGACGCUGAGGCACGAAGGUCAGGGGAGCAAACGGG
rnacentral:rRNA from 1 species